UGUGUUGUUGGGUAGGGGAGCGUUCUGUAAGCCUGUGAAGGUGGCCUGUGAGGGUUGCUGGAGGUAUCAGAAGUGCGAAUGCUGACAUAAGUAACGAUAAAGCGGGUGAAAAGCCCGCUCGCCGGAAGACCAAGGGUUCCUGUCCAACGUUAAUCGGGGCAGGGUGAGUCGACCCCUAAGGCGAGGCCGAAAGGCGUAGUCGAUGGGAAACGGGUUAAUAUUCCCGUACUUGGUGUUACUGCGAAGGGGGGACGGAGAAGGCUAUGUUGGCCGGGCGACGGUUGUCCCGGUUUAAGCGUGUAGGUGUGUGUUCCAGGUAAAUCCGGUUCACUUUAACACUGAGGCGUGAUGACGAGGCACUACGGUGCUGAAGCAACAAAUGCCCUGCUUCCAGGAAAAGCCUCUAAGCAUCAGGUAACAUCAAAUCGUACCCCAAACCGACACAGGUGGUCAGGUAGAGAAUACCAAGGCGCUUGAGAGAACUCGGGUGAAGGAACUAGGCAAAAUGGUGCCGUAACUUCGGGAGAAGGCACGCUGACACGUAGGUGAAGUGAUUUACUCAUGGAGCUGAAGUCAGUCGAAGAUACCAGCUGGCUGCAACUGUUUAUUAAAAACACAGCACUGUGCAAACACGAAAGUGGACGUAUACGGUGUGACGCCUGCCCGGUGCCGGAAGGUUAAUUGAUGGGGUCAGCGCAAGCGAAGCUCCUGAUCGAAGCCCCGGUAAACGGCGGCCGUAACUAUAACGGUCCUAAGGUAGCGAAAUUCCUUGUCGGGUAAGUUCCGACCUGCACGAAUGGCGUAAUGAUGGCCAGGCUGUCUCCACCCGAGACUCAGUGAAAUUGAACUCGCUGUGAAGAUGCAGUGUACCCGCGGCAAGACGGAAAGACCCCGUGAACCUUUACUAUAGCUUGACACUGAACAUUGAGCCUUGAUGUGUAGGAUAGGUGGGAGGCUUUGAAGUGUGGACGCCAGUCUGCAUGGAGCCGACCUUGAAAUACCACCCUUUAAUGUUUGAUGUUCUAACGUGGACCCGUAAUCCGGGUUGCGGACAGUGUCUGGUGGGUAGUUUGACUGGGGCGGUCUCCUCCUAAAGAGUAACGGAGGAGCACGAAGGUUGGCUAAUCCUGGUCGGACAUCAGGAGGUUAGUGCAAUGGCAUAAGCCAGCUUGACUGCGAGCGUGACGGCGCGAGCAGGUGCGAAAGCAGGUCAUAGUGAUCCGGUGGUUCUGAAUGGAAGGGCCAUCGCUCAACGGAUAAAAGGUACUCCGGGGAUAACAGGCUGAUACCGCCCAAGAGUUCAUAUCGACGGCGGUGUUUGGCACCUCGAUGUCGGCUCAUCACAUCCUGGGGCUGAAGUAGGUCCCAAGGGUAUGGCUGUUCGCCAUUUAAAGUGGUACGCGAGCUGGGUUUAGAACGUCGUGAGACAGUUCGGUCCCUAUCUGCCGUGGGCGCUGGAGAACUGAGGGGGGCUGCUCCUAGUACGAGAGGACCGGAGUGGACGCAUCACUGGUGUUCGGGUUGUCAUGCCAAUGGCACUGCCCGGUAGCUAAAUGCGGAAGAGAUAAGUGCUGAAAGCAUCUAAGCACGAAACUUGCCCCGAGAUGAGUUC
rnacentral:rRNA from 1 species